GAUAACCCACCGGUUGCCCCAUACCAGGUAUCGUGUGUAAUGUCUGUCAUUGAUAACCCACCGGUUGCCCCAUACCAGGUAUCGUGUGUAAUGUCUGUCAUUGAUAACCCACCGGUUGCCCCAUACCAGGUAUCGUGUGUAAUGUCUGUCAUUGAUAACCCACCGGUUGCCCCAUACCAGGUAUCGUGUGUAAUGUCUGUCAUUGAUAACCCACCGGUUGCCCCAUACCAGGUAUCGUGUGUAAUGUCUGUCAUUGAUAACCCACCGGUUGCCCCAUACCAGGU